AACGCACAUUGCGCCUCCUGGUAUUCCGGGAGGCAUGCCUGUUCGAGCGUCAUUAAAAACCACUCAAGCUCUUUUGCUUGGUAUUGGGAGAUGAGUAUACUUUUCCUAGUUUACUCACUUUCGAAAUUCAAAGGCGUAGAGCCCCACAUACCACAGCGUAGUAAGUUUUCUUUCGCUUGGAGUGUGAGGUGAUAUUGCCACAAACCCCCAAUUAUUUUUCUAGGUUGACCUCGGAUCAGGUAGGGAUACCCGCUGAACUUAA
rnacentral:misc_RNA from 1 species